GGGGAAUAUUGCACAAUGGGGGAAACCCUGAUGCAGCGACGCCGCGUGGAGGAAGAAGGUCUUCGGAUUGUAAACUCCUGUUGUUGAGGAAGAUAAUGACGGUACUCAACAAGGAAGUGACGGCUAACUACGUGCCAGCAGCCGCGGUAAAACGUAGGUCACAAGCGUUGUCCGGAAUUACUGGGUGUAAAGGGAGCGCAGGCGGGAAAACAAGUUGGAAGUGAAAUCCAUGGGCUCAACCCAUGAACUGCUUUCAAAACUGUUUUUCUUGAGUAGUGCAGAGGUAGGCGGAAUUCCCGGUGUAGCGGUGGAAUGCGUAGAUAUCGGGAGGAACACCAGUGGCGAAGGCGGCCUACUGGGCACCAACUGACGCUGAGGCUCGAAAGUGUGGGUAGCAAACAGGAUUAGAUACCCUGGUAGUCCACACCGUAAACGAUGAUUACUAGGUGUUGGAGGAUUGACCCCUUCAGUGCCGCAGUUAACACAAUAAGUAAUCCACCUGGGGAGUACGACCGCAAGGUUGAAACUCAAAGGAAUUGACGGGGGCCCGCACAAGCAGUGGAGUAUGUGGUUUAAUUCGACGCAACGCGAAGAACCUUACCAAGUCUUGACAUCCCUUGACGAUGCUGGAAACAGCAUUUCUCUUCGGAGCAAGGAGACAGGUGGUGCAUGGUUGUCGUCAGCUCGUGUCGUGAGAUGUUGGGUUAAGUCCCGCAACGAGCGCAACCCUUAUGGUCAGUUACUACGCAAGAGGACUCUGGCCAGACUGCCGUUGACAAAACGGAGGAAGGUGGGGAUGACGUCAAAUCAUCAUGCCCUUUAUGACCUGGGCUACACACGUACUACAAUGGCGUUAAACAAAGAGAAGCAAGACCGCGAGGUGGAGCAAAACUCAGAAACAACGUCCCAGUUCGGACUGCAGGCUGCAACUCGCCUGCACGAAGUCGGAAUUGCUAGUAAUCGUGGAUCAGCAUGCCACGGUGAAUACGUUCCCG
rnacentral:rRNA from 1 species